rnacentral:rRNA from 1 species
GUAUAAGAGACAGCAGUAGCCGCGGUAAUACGUAGGGUGCAAGCGUUAAUCGGAAUUACUGGGCGUAAAGCGUGCGCAGGCGGUUAUAUAAGACAGAUGUGAAAUCCCCGGGCUCAACCUGGGAACUGCAUUUGUGACUGUAUAGCUAGAGUACGGCAGAGGGGGAUGGAAUUCCGCGUGUAGCAGUGAAAUGCGUAGAUAUGCGGAGGAACACCGAUGGCGAAGGCAAUCCCCUGGGCCUGUACUGACGCUCAUGCACGAAAGCGUGGGGAGCAAACAGGAUUAGAUACCCCAGUAGUCCCUGUCUCUUAUAC